rnacentral:rRNA from 1 species
CGUCGCGGCCCUAUCAGCUUGUUGGUGAGGUAGUGGCUCACCAAGGCGACGACGGGUAGCCGGCCUGAGAGGGUGACCGGCCACACUGGGACUGAGACACGGCCCAGACUCCUACGGGAGGCAGCAGUGGGGAAUAUUGCACAAUGGGCGAAAGCCUGAUGCAGCAACGCCGCGUGAGGGAUGACGGCCUUCGGGUUGUAAACCUCUUUUAGUAGGGAAGAAGCGAAAGUGACGGUACCUGCAGAAAAAGCACCGGCUAACUACGUGCCAGCAGCCGCGGUAAUACGUAGGGUGCAAGCGUUGUCCGGAAUUAUUGGGCGUAAAGAGCUCGUAGGCGGCUUGUCGCGUCUGCUGUGAAAACCCGAGGCUCAACCUCGGGCCUGCAGUGGGUACGGGCAGGCUAGAGUGCGGUAGGGGAGAUUGGAAUUCCUGGUGUAGCGGUGGAAUGCGCAGAUAUCAGGAGGAACACCGAUGGCGAAGGCAGAUCUCUGGGCCGUAACUGACGCUGAGGAGCGAAAGCAUGGGGAGCGAACAGGAUUAGAUACCCUGGUAGUCCAUGCCGUAAACGUUGGGAACUAGAUGU